rnacentral:piRNA from 1 species
UGAGCUUUACCAACGGCCUUUU